GAUGAAGAACGUAGCGAAAUGCGAUAAGUAAUGUGAAUUGCAGAACUCAGUGAAUCAUCGAAUCUUUGAACGCACCUUGCGCCCUUUGGCCAUUCCGAAGGGCAUGCCUGUUUGAGUAUCAUGAACACCUCAACUCUUCAUGGUUUUCCGUGAUGAGCUUGGACUUUGGGGGUCUUGCUGGCCUAUGGUCAGCUCCUCUAAAAUAAAUCAGCUUGCCAGUGUUUGGUGGGUAUCACAGGUGUGAUAACUAUCUACGCUUGUGGUUUUCCACCAGGUAACCUUCAGCAGUGGAGGUUCGCUGGAGCUCACAGAUGUGUCUCUCCUCAGUGAGGACAGCUCUUUGAAUGUUUGAUCUCAAAUCAGGUAGGACUACCCGCUGAACUUAAGCAUAUCAAUAAGCGGAGGA
rnacentral:misc_RNA from 1 species